rnacentral:pre_miRNA from 1 species
AAAAAGACAAACCAUGGUUUCCGUGCCCAACGUUUGACCGUCCGUCUUAUUUGAAAAAAAAUUAUGAAAAAAAAUUAAAAAGACAAGUCACGCAUAAAAUAUUAAUUAUGUUUUAUCAUCUAGCAACAAUAAAAAUACGAAUUAUAAAAAAAUUUCAUAUAAGACGGACAAUCAAAGUUGGACACGGAAACCCAUGGUUUGCCUUUUU